rnacentral:rRNA from 1 species
CCAUAGGAGGAGGAGCGGUCCAAGGAUGAGGUUAUAUUACGUACUCACGUGAGGUAGGUUUUGGAUGUAUGUAUUAUUUUUGUGUAGGGUAACAUCUUAAGGUGUCCCUAGGUGAGUUCAACACUUAGUCAGGCGGUUCGUUUUCCUUAAUUGGCUACUUCCCCGUUCUCUUUAGUGGAGACUACUUACCGUUCAAACUUUUACUUUUAGUACUGGUCCCGCAUUAGAAGUUGUCGUUGCUAAUGGACUCUGGGAGGUGUUAUUAAAACAUGCAUUGGUUCGAGUAAACCUAGUACGUUCCUUGUUGCUCUUUACAAACUCGUGUUUUUCCUGCAGUUUAUCACCGUCUGGUAUUCCUUGUCUUUCACUGCAUCGUUGUGUCGACGUCUCCCUUUUGCGUCUUUACAUAAAAAAUAUAGUGAUGAUUUGGACUCUAGUAGGAUAUUCGCCUCCUUGAUUUAUUAAUGUCAUGUCAUCCGCGUAGUUACUGUUUCCUCGUAUCUAUUUGGUUGUACUUGUGUUUAAUCAAAGGAUUAGUUUUAAAGGUUUUACUAAAUGGUUUCAUGUACUUGAUUGUUAGGUUAGAUCGUCUUGACCCCUCUUAUGAUAUACGACGUAUUGAUUUUUUGUUAGUUAGACAUCAAAAUCAUUAUGUGAGAACUAAUUAUCUGUCUAGGUAACACAGUCAGUUAAUUAUAAAACGGCCUCAAUUCCUACGCUCUGUAAAUAAUAUAAACAACGAACACAACCCUUCCUUUAGUUUAGGUUGAAAGUUACAAAAAAUCAACAAUAAGGAUUAUCUCAUCGCGUACUUUUACUUUUGUUUUGUUCUUUCUAAAUGUAUAAAUCUAGUUAUUUGAACACCGGUAAAUUGUGACUUUGGUUGUCCCAUGACUCUUUGACUACCGAGAUUUGAACAAUAACAGCACGAACGACCGUUCUCCGUUUUUGUCUUCGUGUUAAUUAUUAUACGUCACUAUUUAAUUGGGUACUUUGACUAUGAGUACGUACCUACUUACCUCCCCCCGCUGUGUACUCCAGACUGUCUCUCCGCAAUUACCUAUUGUGUAGUUACCUAUCGUGUGACAACCGACACACUUGUACGUUACAACAUACUUGACACAUAUUUGAUGAGGGAGACAAGGCCUUAUGAACAGCGACCUCUUUAGGACAUGUUCAAGACAAUGCAAUGCUUAAAAGACUUGAAAGGUAAAAAUGGGUGCGCGGCGGAGACAAGCGGUGAGCGAGCGGAGACAAGCGGUGAGUCAGCAGCGGAGAGAAGAGGGGUAGCGGAGACAUGACGGUGGAGCGGCCGGUGGUGGAGCGGGUGGAGCGGCCGGUCCGCCGGUGGUCGAGAGGGGCAGUGGCGACAGAAAGAGGGCGGAGGUGAGUGUGGGCAGCAGGUGAGCGUGGGGUGUAGGCUCCAGUUCGAAACUACGCGGACGAGACCUAGACCGCUGCCUCCGCCACCUACGCCCUCUAUCCCUCCUCCGGCAGCGCCACCACACCGACCUGGUGUAGGAGUUCGUGUGGCUACCGCGGUACCUCCUCCGGCUCGCGUAGACGGCGACGGUGUUGCGGCUGCCGCGGUACCUCAUGACCGAGCUCGGCCUGCUCGAGCGCCGGGACGCGGCCCUCUAGGCGCAGCUGGGCAUGACCCACGGCGGUCCCACCUUUGCGCCUCUGGGGCACAGGCGCCUACCGAUGCGCGAGUUCCGUUUCUACGCCCACCUCCUCGAGUCGUUCCUCGAGCGGCCUAAUUUUUCCAGAGGAAAAGGGGAAGAGGACAGUAGAAGUCUAGAAGAGAACGCGACGAACGAACGAACCUCGUCAUCUGGAACAUCUCUAAACACGUUCGUCAUCGUCUGUCUAAACACGUUCUAAUGACGAGAAGAGAAGAGAAGAACAAGAACCUCGUUCGUCGUCGUCUGCCUAAACACGUUCAUCUGAAGUUGUUUGUCUAACCUCGUCUGUCUAAAUCGACUGUUUAACAAACCACAAACGAACGAAAUCUGUCUGUCCAAAUCGUGUGUACGAAUACACCGUAACGUCUGUUUGUCAAACACGUUCUUGUGGGGUUUUCGUUCAUCUGGACGAACGUCAUCGAGAAUCCACUUAAAAUCCACUUCAUGUCUGCCUAAGUUUAGGAAAAUUUUAAUACGUCAUGACGGAUGACUAACACGACUUAAAACUUCACGUCUGUUUCGUUCGUUUUUAGUUGACUAACACGACUUAAAACGUCGUCACGAACGGACAACGAAAACGAACUUAAUGUCAAUUAAAGAGAAGAGACUUAAGAGGAGGAACAGACUCGUGUGUGUGGGAAAAAGUCAAAGUCAAUUGACGAACGAACGAACGAGAGAAGAACAGACUCGUGUGUGUGGGGGAACUGGUGUGUGGGACAAUGAUAACAAAUGAGGACAGUUUAUUUGAUGAGGUACAUAAUUACAACGAUAAUAGUCGUCAUUACGAUCACAGUUUAUUUGAUGAGGUACAGUUAUAACGAUCACAAAUGAGUAAAGUUAAUCACGAUUACAAAUGAGGUAAGUUAUAACGAAAAUGACAGUUUAUAACGAUCACAAAUGAGGAUAGUUUAUUUGAUGAGGUACAGUUUAUUUGGAACGAUCCACUUAGAAAAGGUAAUUAGUUUAAACUGCUUUAAAUUUCGUGAAUUGACUUAAAUAUAAUGACGUGGCACCUCAUCAAGUUACUAGAUCAUCAAGAAUAACCUCAUCAAGUUACCAUGAGUAUGUCAUGAACCACAUCGAACCACAAUCAUGAACCAGUAACCGUCAUCGAACGUCAUAAACAUCGAUAUCAAUUGACUUCUCUAAUGACGAAAUUCAUUGUAGUCAUAAACAUAGAACCACAUGAUGACGAAAUUCACUGGAAUCAACCACAUCAUGACGAACUUCACUGUAAUCAACCACAUGACGAACCUCAUCGAACGACAUCUCUAAACACAUAAGACGUCAACUCACGGUUUUAUGAGGAAAAGUACCUCGACGAACGUCAUCAAAGACUAGACGUCAGUCUAAUCGAACCUCGUCAUCGUAACGAACGAGACGAUAAGAGAAGAGAAGAGAAGAAAAUUAAUUUUAAUUGAUUUUGAAAAGGAAAAAUUUAAUCGACUUUGAAAGGAUCAAUUAAUCUUAAUUGACUUUGACAAGGAAAUCACGAACGUAUUUGACAAAAUUGCUACUUAACCUCAUGAGGAAAUUCUAAAAACUAAUUAUUCAUUUGAUUUGAUUUCAUGUCAUCGUCUACCUCAUUUAGUGUCUACAGUUUAAUGAGUAUGACAACUGUGACAAUGUUGGUAUCAGUUUUACCUCAUCGAGUGGAUCUAGACGACUAAACAGUUAACUAGGACACAUCGACUAGAACGAUAACGACUAAACACUUAAAGUCCUAUGACUAGAACGUCUACACCGUCGAGGACAAGGUUUAUCAAUUAAAAUCUUUUUCCUCCUUUUUCCUCAUGUAUAUUAUGGAUAAAGGCUGAUAUCGGCUAGAACCGCGGUCUUGCAGAUAUGGCCGACACUGGACCUACCCCUAGCCGCCGCCGAGGAGUUCGCCUAGCAUCGCUGCUCUAGCCGCCGCCGAGGAGUUCGCCUAGCAUCGCUGCUCUAGCCGCCGCCAAAGAGUUCGCCAGGACCUCGUGCCGCGUCUCCCCGCGCCAGGCGCGCCGGUGCUCGGGCCGCGUCCGCGCCCGCUGCCGCCGCUCUCGCCGCUCGACCAGGAGCCGCCACUGCCUCCCCUCCUUCGUCUCGGUACUCCCUCCCUCCCUCCCGAGCACGCAAGCCAGCAGGUCGACGACAACGUCGACGUCCAGCACGCAGGUCUAGGCCCCGUCAGCAGGACGUGUGUUUUCUUUUAUUUGGUUCCUUCUUUAGUGCUCGUCCCCCUCUACUACUUAAGCUCCUUCUUGCAGGCGUCCAUGUGUGAGUGGUAUCGGCAGUGGCCUCUAGGCGCCAGCGGCCGCGCGCAGGAACUUCCAACUCCGCAGCAGGAACUCCCAUCCCUAACCUCGUAGAGGCAGGCAGGUACCGAUGACGGCCCGGCCCAGCCUGGAGGUACCGGCUGGAGGGAGCUCCUGCCUGCGCCUAGUCCAGCUGCUGCUGCGCGACUACGGCGGCACCUAAACCCACGAGGGAGAGGGAAGGGAAGGGAACGGAAGGGAAGGGAAGGGAACCCUCUCCUUAUCUUCCAACCCCCGCCGCCGCGUCCCCCCGCUCCUCUAGCGGCCGCCGCCCCAACCUAACCCCACGCCGCCGCCGCCGACGCUGACCUCUACCCUCUGCUCCAUCCCGAUCGCUCCCUAACCAAGACAGCGCUGCCAUUUUGGUCGCCUCCCCUC